rnacentral:rRNA from 1 species
UUAAGCGACUAAGCGUACACGGUGGAUGCCCUGGCAGUCAGAGGCGAUGAAGGACGUGCUAAUCUGCGAAAAGCGUCGGUAAGGUGAUAUGAACCGUUAUAACCGGCGAUGUCCGAAUGGGGAAACCCAGUGCAAUUCGUUGCACUAUCGUUAACUGAAUACAUAGGUUAACGAGGCGAACCGGGGGAACUGAAACAUCUAAGUACCCCGAGGAAAAGAAAUCAACCGAGAUUCCCCCAGUAGCGGCGAGCGAACGGGGAGCAGCCCAGAGUCUGAAUCAGCUUGUGUGUUAGUGGAACGGUCUGGAAAGUCCGACGGUACAGGGUGAUAGUCCCGUACACCAAAAUGCACAGGUUGUGAACUCGAAGAGUAGGGCGGGACACGUGGUAUCCUGUCUGAAUAUGGGGGGACCAUCCUCCAAGGCUAAAUACUCCUGACUGACCGAUAGUGAACCAGUACCGUGAGGGAAAGGCGAAAAGAACCCCGGCGAGGGGAGUGAAAAAGAACCUGAAACCGUGUACGUACAAGCAGUGGGAGCACCUUCGGGUGUGACUGCGUACCUUUUGUAUAAUGGGUCAGCGACUUAUAUUCUGUAGCAAGGUUAACCGUAUAGGGGAGCCGCAGGGAAACCGAGUCUUAACUGGGCGUUAAGUUGCAGGGUAUAGACCCGAAACCCGGUGAUCUAGCCAUGGGCAGGUUGAAGGUUGGGUAACACUAACUGGAGGACCGAACCGACUAAUGUUGAAAAAUUAGCGGAUGACUUGUGGCUGGGGGUGAAAGGCCAAUCAAACCGGGAGAUAGCUGGUUCUCCCCGAAAGCUAUUUAGGUAGCGCCUCGUGAACUCAUCUUCGGGGGUAGAGCACUGUUUCGGCUAGGGGGUCAUCCCGACUUACCAACCCGAUGCAAACUACGAAUACCGAAGAAUGUUAUCACGGGAGACACACGGCGGGUGCUAACGUCCGUCGUGAAGAGGGAAACAACCCAGACCGCCAGCUAAGGUCCCAAAGUCAUGGUUAAGUGGGAAACGAUGUGGGAAGGCACAGACAGCCAGGAUGUUGGCUUAGAAGCAGCCAUCAUUUAAAGAAAGCGUAAUAGCUCACUGGUCGAGUCGGCCUGCGCGGAAGAUGUAACGGGGCUAAACCAUGCACCGAAGCUGCGGCAGCGACACUAUGUGUUGUUGGGUAGGGGAGCGUUCUGUAAGCCUGCGAAGGUGUGCUGUGAGGCAUGCUGGAGGUAUCAGAAGUGCGAAUGCUGACAUAAGUAACGAUAAAGCGGGUGAAAAGCCCGCUCGCCGGAAGACCAAGGGUUCCUGUCCAACGUUAAUCGGGGCAGGGUGAGUCGACCCCUAAGGCGAGGCCGAAAGGCGUAGUCGAUGGGAAACAGGUUAAUAUUCCUGUACUUGGUGUUACUGCGAAGGGGGGACGGAGAAGGCUAUGUUAGCCGGGCGACGGUUGUCCCGGUUUAAGCAUGUAGGCUGGUUGUCCAGGCAAAUCCGGAUAAUCAAGGCUGAGGUGUGAUGACGAGGCACUACGGUGCUGAAGUAACAAAUGCCCUGCUUCCAGGAAAAGCCUCUAAGCAUCAGGUAACAUCAAAUCGUACCCCAAACCGACACAGGUGGUCAGGUAGAGAAUACCAAGGCGCUUGAGAGAACUCGGGUGAAGGAACUAGGCAAAAUGGUGCCGUAACUUCGGGAGAAGGCACGCUGGUGUGUAGGUGAAGCCCCUGCGGGUGGAGCUGAGACCAGUCGAAGAUACCAGCUGGCUGCAACUGUUUAUUAAAAACACAGCACUGUGCAAACACGAAAGUGGACGUAUACGGUGUGACGCCUGCCCGGUGCCGGAAGGUUAAUUGAUGGGGUUAUCCGUAAGGAGAAGCUCUUGAUCGAAGCCCCGGUAAACGGCGGCCGUAACUAUAACGGUCCUAAGGUAGCGAAAUUCCUUGUCGGGUAAGUUCCGACCUGCACGAAUGGCGUAAUGAUGGCCAGGCUGUCUCCACCCGAGACUCAGUGAAAUUGAACUCGCUGUGAAGAUGCAGUGUACCCGCGGCAAGACGGAAAGACCCCGUGAACCUUUACUAUAGCUUGACACUGAACAUUGAGCCUUGAUGUGUAGGAUAGGUGGGAGGCUUUGAAGCGUGGACGCCAGUCUGCGUGGAGCCAACCUUGAAAUACCACCCUUUAAUGUUUGAUGUUCUAACGUUGGCCCCUGACCGGGGUUGCGGACAGUGUCUGGUGGGUAGUUUGACUGGGGCGGUCUCCUCCCAAAGCGUAACGGAGGAGCACGAAGGUUAGCUAAUCCUGGUCGGACAUCAGGAGGUUAGUGCAAUGGCAUAAGCUAGCUUGACUGCGAGCGUGACGGCGCGAGCAGGUGCGAAAGCAGGUCAUAGUGAUCCGGUGGUUCUGAAUGGAAGGGCCAUCGCUCAACGGAUAAAAGGUACUCCGGGGAUAACAGGCUGAUACCGCCCAAGAGUUCAUAUCGACGGCGGUGUUUGGCACCUCGAUGUCGGCUCAUCACAUCCUGGGGCUGAAGUAGGUCCCAAGGGUAUGGCUGUUCGCCAUUUAAAGUGGUACGCGAGCUGGGUUUAGAACGUCGUGAGACAGUUCGGUCCCUAUCUGCCGUGGGCGCUGGAGAAUUGAGGGGGGCUGCUCCUAGUACGAGAGGACCGGAGUGGACGCAUCACUGGUGUUCGGGUUGUCAUGCCAAUGGCACUGCCCGGUAGCUAAAUGCGGAAGAGAUAAGUGCUGAAAGCAUCUAAGCACGAAACUUGCCCCGAGAUGAGUUCUCCCUGAGACUUUAAGUCUCCUGAAGGAACGUU